rnacentral:rRNA from 1 species
UACCCGCGGCCCGAGUGGUGCUCAUUAUUAUUGAGCCUAAAGCGUCCGUAGCUGGCCGGGCAAAUCUCCGGGUAAAUCGGGCCGCUCAACGGUCCGAAUUCCGGAGACACUGCUCGGCUUGGGAUCGGGAGAGGGUGAAGGUACUCCCGGGGUAGGGGUAAAAUCCUGUAAUCCUGGGGGGGCCACCAGUGGCGAAGGCGUUCACCUAGAACGAAUCCGACAGUGAGGGACGAAGCCCUAGGGCGCAAACGGGAUUAGAUACCCCGGUAGUCUAGGGUGUAAACGCUGCAGACUUGGUGUUGGGGGUCCUGCGUGGGCUCCCAGUGCCGGAGCGAAGGUGUUGAGUCUGCCGCUUGGGGAGUACGGUCGCAAGACUGAAACUUAAAGGAAUUGGCGGGAGAGCACCGCAACGGGAGGAGCGUGCGGUUCAAUUGGAUUCAACGCCGGAAAACUCACCGGAGGCGACGGAGGGAUGAAAGCCAGGCUGAAGACCUUGCCCGAUUCUCCGAGAGGUGGUGCAUGGCCGUCGUCAGUUCGUACCGUAAGGCGUUCUGUUAAGUCAGAUAACGAACGAGACCCUCGCCGUUAGUCGCAAUCUUACAAGCGAUUGUAGGAGCACACUAGCGGGAUCGCUGCCGUUAAGGCAGAGGAAGGAGAGGUCUACGGUAGGUCCGUAUGCCCCGAAUCUUCCGGGCAACACGCGCGCUACAAAGGUGGGGACAAUGGGACCCGACCUCGAAAGGGGGAGGCAAUCCUGAAACCCCAUCGUAGUCUGGAUCGAGGGCUGUAACUCGCCCUCGUGAAAAUGGAUUCCGUAGUAAUCGCGGGUCAACAUCCCGCGGUGAAUGUGCCCCUGCUCUU